GUUAUAUGGUCAAGUGAAGAAGCGCAUACGGUGGAUGCCUUGGCAGUCAGAGGCGAUGAAAGACGUGGUAGCCUGCGAUAAGCUUUGGGGAGUCGGCAAACAGACUGUGAUCCAGAGAUCUCUGAAUGGGGGAACCCACUCAGCAUAAGCUGAGUAUCUUGUACUGAAUACAUAGGUACAAGAGGCGAACCAGGGGAACUGAAACAUCUAAGUACCCUGAGGAAAAGAAAUCAACCGAGAUUCCCUUAGUAGUGGCGAGCGAACGGGGACCAGCCCUUAAGUUGGUUUGAGAUUAGUGGAACGCUCUGGAAAGUGCGGCCAUAGUGGGUGAUAGCCCCGUACACGAAAAUCUCUUAUCAAUGAAAUCGAGUAGGACGGAGCACGAGAAACUUUGUCUGAACAUGGGGGGACCAUCCUCCAAGGCUAAAUACUACUGACUGACCGAUAGUGAACCAGUACCGUGAGGGAAAGGCGAAAAGAACC
rnacentral:rRNA from 1 species